AGUGAACGCUGGCGGUAGGCCUAGCACAUGCAAGUCGAACGGCAGCACAGUAAGAGCUUGCUCUUACGGGUGGCGAGUGGCGGACGGGUGAGGAAUACAUCGGAAUCUACUUUUUCGUGGGGGAUAACGUAGGGAAACUUACGCUAAUACCGCAUACGACCUACGGGUGAAAGCAGGGGAUCUUCGGACCUUGCGCGAUUGAAUGAGCCGAUGUCGGAUUAGCUAGUUGGCGGGGUAAAGGCCCACCAAGGCGACGAUCCGUAGCUGGUCUGAGAGGAUGAUCAGCCACACUGGAACUGAGACACGGUCCAGACUCCUACGGGAGGCAGCAGUGGGGAAUAUUGGACAAUGGGCGCAAGCCUGAUCCAGCCAUACCGCGUGGGUGAAGAAGGCCUUCGGGUUGUAAAGCCCUUUUGUUGGGAAAGAAAAGCAGCAGGUUAAUACCCCGCUGUUCUGACGGUACCCAAAGAAUAAGCGCCGGCUAACUUCGUG
rnacentral:rRNA from 1 species